ensembl:lncRNA
AUGGAUGGUCCAAAUGUAAAUUGGAAGUUUUUAGAACUGCUGCAACAAGAGCAUCGUGAGCAGUUUGGUGGCACACAGCUAAUUGUGGUGGGGAGCUGUGGCCUCCACACCCUACAUAAUGCCUGCAAACAUGGUUUCUCCAUUUGGAAGCUAGAGAAGGUUCUGAGGGCCUUGCACAUACUCUUCCACAAUGCGCCAGCUAGGAGGGAGGAUUUCACUGCUCUGACCAAAUGCACAAAAUUUCCACUUCCGUUCUGUGGACACAGGUGGCUCGAAAAUCUACCAGUCGUGGAGAGAGCUUUGGAAUUCUGGCCAUCAGUGACCAUGUACAUGGAUGCAGUCAGGAAAAAGAAGCUACCAAAUCCGGGAACCACAUCGUAUGACACUCUUGAAGUUGCUGAAAAAGACCCUCUUAUUCUGGCGAAGCUACAUUUCUACAUGGCUAUCACAAGGACCUUCAGUCCUUUUCUUACCUUCUAUCAAACGGAUGUACUAGUGAUUCCGUUCCUUGCCAAAGACUUGGCUGAGCUGAUGAAGAGUAUGCUGAGGCGUUUUGUCAAGAAAGAGGUACUCAAGGAUAUCAGUUCACUGCAGCUGGUCAGGCUGGAUGUCAGUGACAAACAGAGCUGGGUCAACCUAAAGGAAGUAAACAUGGGAUUGGGUGCAGAAUCACUCCUUAAGGAACUACAGAAACAGAAAAAGAUAGGUGAACUCACAGCCCUGGAGUUUAGGAAAGACUGUGUCAAGGUGAUGUGUACCAUCACCCAGAAAGUACAGGAAAAGAGCCCAUUAAAGUAUCCUGUAGUGAGGCAGGUGGCCUGUUUGGACCCCAGCAUGAUGAUGUCUGACCCUGACUGGUGCAAGAGCAAUAUGACAAAACUGGUGCAGAGGUUUUUGCAGGCCCAACAGUUGUCAGGAGGUGUCUCUGCUGGUGAUGUUAUAAUCCAGCAAUUCAAUGAAUUUUUAUCUGUUGAAAAUGAGAGCUUAUUCUCAUACAAACCAACAGAAACCAGGCUAGACAUAUUCCUGCAUGGAGUUCUUGGGCAGCGCGAUGAGUUAUGGAGCUUUUGCAAGAAACUGCUUCUCCUGUCCCAUGGGCAGGCAACAGUGGAGAGAGGAUUCUCCAUUAAUAAAGAAGUGGAGACCUGCAAUAUGCAGGAGGAGACAAUGGUCAGUCAUCGACUAAUAUGUGAUUAUGUCAGCAUCUGUGGGGGGCUCCUCAAUGUCCCUAUCUCAAAGGAGUUACUGGCCUCUGCUGCAUCUGCUAGAUCAAGAUACAGAAUGCACCUUGAUCAGCAGAAAAAAAUCCAAAUCACUGAUGUCCAGGCACAGAAGCGCAAAGCUUUGGAAGACGACAUCGAGGACCUGAAAAAAAAGAAGAGAAUUCUGGUCCAGGUAUCUUCGAGCCUGCAGAAGGAUGCUGAGCAGCUUGCAGAAGAAGCUGAGGGAAAAGCUGGCACCUUGAUGGCACAGCUCAUUACAAAAUCCAACACACUGAGGAAGCGAUAUAAAGAAAAAACUAAUGAAUUACAGAGCCAGGCGCGAGUCGACGCGGAUUGCGUGCAUGCGUCAAGCCUCAUCCAUACUGCCAGAUGCGCUCGUGAAGAUUUAAGGUGCAGGUCCGCGCGCGAAUAUAACCGAGCGUUACGAGACAGGCUGCGUCAGCGCGGCAAGUGUGAACGGCUCGUCCGUGACGCGGGAUUCGCACCGCGUGGGGAACCUGCGCACCCCAAAAUCCCCCCCUGUCUCUCCCCCCCCCUCCUUUUUUUUUUUUUUUUUUUUUUAAAUGGUGGGCGUUUCCGCAGUUGGCUAGAGCAAUGCUGA